UACGAAGGGGGCUAGCGUUGUUCGGAAUUACUGGGCGUAAAGCGCGCGCAGGCGGUCUUCCAAGUCAGUGGUGAAAGCCUGGAGCUCAACUCCAGAACUGCCAUUGAAACUGUUAGACUUGAGUACGAGAGAGGUGAGUGGAAUUCCCAGUGUAGAGGUGAAAUUCGUCGAUAUUGGGAAGAACACCAGUGGCGAAGGCGGCUCACUGGCUCGUAACUGACGCUCAGGCGCGACAGCGUGGGGAGCAAACAGG
rnacentral:rRNA from 1 species